UACGUAGGGUGCGAGCGUUGUCCGGAAUUACUUGGGCGUAAAGAGCUCGUAGGCGGUCUGUCGCGUCGAUCGUGAAAACUUGGGGCUUAACCCUGAGCUUGCGGUCGAUACGGGCAUGACUGGAGUUCGGCAGGGGAGACUGGAAUUCCUGGUGUAGCGGUGAAAUGCGCCAGAUAUCAAGGAGGAACACCGGUGGCGAAGGCGG
rnacentral:rRNA from 1 species